rnacentral:rRNA from 1 species
CCCCAGCGCCACGAGUGGUUAUCACGAUUAUUGGGCCUAAAGCGUUCGUAGCCGGUUUGGUGCAUCUCUUGUGAAAUUGUUCGGCUUAACCGGACAGCGUGCAGGAGACACGACCAGACUCGAGACCGGGAGGGGUUAGAAGUAUUCCAUGGGGACUGGUAAAAUGGGAUAAUCCAUGGAAGACUACCGAUGGCGAAGGCAUCUAACCAGAACGGAUCUGACGGUGAGGAACGAAAGCCAGGGGAGCGAACCGG